UGCGCCGAAGAUGUCCGGGGCUAAACGUGACACCGAAGCGAUGGGUGCAUCUGAAGAAGAUGCGCGGUAGAGGAGCAAUGUGCAGAGGCAGAAGCCGUAUCGAGAGGCACGGUGGACACUGCACAAGAGAGAAUGCCGGUAUGAGUAGCGAGAGGCAUGCGAGAAACAUGCCCGUCGAAAGCCCAAGGUUUCCUGGGGAAGGUUCAUCCGCCCAGGGUAAGUCGGGGCCUAAGCCGAGGACGGAAGUCGUAGGCGAUGGACAGCAGGUGUAGAUUCCUGCACUACCGAUGGAAUGAAGCAGUGACACAGAAGGAUAACUCGAGCAGGGUGAUGGUCAACCCUGUGCAAGCAUCAAGGUUGGGUUGUAGUGAAGUACGCAAUCCUAUAAGCUGAGAUGUGAUGCGGACCGAAAUUUCAGUAGGGAAGCGAGUGAGUUCACGCUGGCGAGAAAAGCUGCUAGUACAUCCAAAGGUACCCGUACCGGAAACCGACGCAGGUGGGCGAGGAGAGAAUCCUGAGACGAACGGGAGAACCCUUGUUAAGGAACUCGGCAAAAUGACCCCGUAACUUCGGGAUAAGGGGUGCCUGCGAGAGCAGGCCGCAGAGAAUAGUCACAAGCGACUGUUUAGCAAAAACACAGGUAUCUGCGAAAGCGAGAGCUGACGUAUAGGUGCUGACACCUGCCCGGUGCUGGAAGGUUAAGGGAACAUGUUAGAGCAAUCGAAGCAUCGAACCGAAGCCCCAGUAAACGGCGGCCGUAACUAUAACGGUCCUAAGGUAGCGAAAUUCCUUGUCGGGUAAGUUCCGACCCGCACGAAUGGUGUAACGACUUGUGAGCUGUCUCAACAGGGGGCCCGGUGAAAUUGAAGUAUGGGUGAAGAUGCCCAUUACCCGCGACUGGACGGAAAGACCCCGUAGAGCUUUACUGCAGCCUGAUAUUGAGUUUCGGUAACUGAUGCACAGGAUAGGUGGGAGUCUGAGAGACAUGGGUUUCGGCUCAUGUGGAGACGAUGUUGGGAUACCACUCUUCGGUUACUGAAAUUCUAACAUAGCUCUGUGAAACCAGAGGAUGGACAGUGUCAGGUGGACAGUUUGACUGGGGCGGUCGCCUCCGAAAGAGUAACGGAGGCGCCCAAAGGUACCCUCAGAAUGGAUGGAAACCAUUCGAAGAGCGCAAAGGC
rnacentral:rRNA from 1 species